GCUGCCCAACGACAGGCAGACCAAAGAGAUACUGAUCAGACGUCACGCUAGUAUACGCCGCAGCCUGAGGCCGGGCAGCUUUCAGAUGGUGGUUCCCAAAUCCCAUAAGUACUUCUCUCUUCCUACUGGGAAGAGUUUGGACUCAAAGUUUCCUGCCGAGCGGCUCAGCUACACACGUGAUGAUGAAACCAUGUCAGAGUUGGCCUACC